UUGAUCACUUUGGCAGCACAUAUACAAAAAUUGGAACGAUACAGAGAUUAGCAUGGCCCUUGUGCAAGGAUGACUGGCAUAUUUGUGAAGCAUUCCUGAUUUUA
ensembl:snRNA U6 U6 spliceosomal RNA